rnacentral:rRNA from 1 species
UACAGAGGUCCCAAGCGUUGUUCGGAUUCACUGGGCGUAAAGGGUGCGUAGGUGGCCAGGUAAGUUUGAUGUGAAAGCUCGGAGCUUAACUCCGAAAUGGCAUUGAAUACUAUCUGGCUUGAGGGUCGGAGGGGAGACUGGAAUUCUCGGUGUAGCAGUGAAAUGCGUAGAUAUCGAGAGGAACACCAGUGGCGAAGGCGAGUCUCUGGACGACACCUGACACUGAGGCACGAAAGCUAGGGGAGCGAACGGG